UACGUAGGGUGCGAGCGUUAAUCGGAAUUACUGGGCGUAAAGCGCGUGUAGGCUGCUUCGCAAGUCGGAUGUGAAAGCCCUGGGCUCAACCCAGGAAGUGCAUUCGAAACUGCAGAGCUGGAGUCCUGGAGAGGAAGGCGGAAUUCUCGGUGUAGAGGUGAAAUGCGUAGAUAUCUGCAGGAACACCCGUGGCGAAGGCGGCUGGCUGGACCGCAACUGACGCUGAGGAACGAAAGCUAGGGGAGCAAACAGG
rnacentral:rRNA from 1 species